ACUAUUAUUGCUGGGAGACUCUCGGAUCAAAAAGUAGAGGAUGCAAUCGAUCCGGGACCCCUUUUUUUUUUUUUUUUUUACUUUUCAACAUGAUUCUUGAAGGCAGCCAGCAAUUUUUUGAGUGAUGCCCAAAUAGGGAUUUUGAAUUUUUGAUGCUCCUACGAUACACUUGCUAAUAUAGGAAAAAGCCUAAGACAUUAAAUAAAAAGGGAAACAAAAAGAUUAUCUGCUUACAAAUAAUCCUCCGAAGCAAUAUCAACUGCAACAUCAUAUCCAAAAGUCACGGAGUAAUCAUCCAACUCAUCAGAUGUAAACUUUGGCAUCCUCCAGCUUCUUGCAACUUCAGAGUCAUGGCCGCCGGUUAGAAGCUCUAACACCUACGAAGAAAGCAAAGAAAACAGGAGAUGGGUUCAAUCAGGUUAGUUGGUUGCCAUCUCAUAUGGACUAUAAGCGCAUCACCUAGCACAUAAUAAUGUAUGUUCACCUCACUCAUUGAUGGACGCCAUGGUGAGGAUUGUCUCACACAAUAUGAAGCUGUUAGCACAACUCUAUGCAUUUGGUCUGGAUCAAAUUUUCCUUUCAAUUCCGGAUCUGCUAGUUCCAUGAUGUUUCCAGAUUCCAUCAGAGGCUUUGCCUACACAUGCAAACCAUUUAAAUGAAAUGAAUUGGAAUGACUUGGAGAGAACAAGAACUUCCAGUUCAGUUUUUGACAGACUUGAAUUUACAAGUCAGAACUCCUAACUAGCCAUUGAGGUUAUCUCCUGGUAACAUUAUGUAGCUGGGACUCCCAUUACAGUUGUUUAAAUUGUUGAAAUUUGAAGUAGUAUAGGUAUUGGUAAUCGAUCAAGGGCAGAAUCCAAUUAUCACAUACCCAUAAAAGAAGGUUUUGCUUCGAUGAGUCCACAGGCCUCCGGCCGGUUAUGAUCUCCAAAAGAAGAACUCCAAAUGCGUAAACAUCAGUUUUCUCAUCCACAAUUCCGUGCAUGAAGUACUCCGGUGCUAUGUAUCCAAAUGUACCCUCAAUUGGAAUCACAGCGUGGUGAGUCCACUUGUUAGGAAGCCAUUUCGCAAGCCCAAAAUCAGUUAUCUACAGAAAAACGAAAUGCCAGCUAAUCAUCCCUUUAACCCUUCAUCAGCUUUUAAGAUUAGAAUAGUGGAAGAGUUUGCUUGCAAAGUUCAUUCACCUGUGGCUCAUAAUCAGGUCCUAGAAGAACAUUAGAGGCUUUUAUGUCACGAUGUAUUAUUCGGUGCUUGCAGCAUUUGUGGAGAUAAUGCAGACCCCUAGCCACUCCAAGGGCAAUCUUGUGUCUUACUGGCCACUGAAGUGACUCACCUGUUUUACCUGUUGAUCAUCCGUAAAACAAUCUGUUAAAUAAACAACAAUCGUUUAUUUCAUCAUCUUCAAAUCAUGAAUGAUUUCUGAACUAAGAAAUAAAACUGUUCCAUUUCUGUAGAAUGUUAACAUAUCCUUUGCUAUAACCAACAUGUUCAAAUCUUUAUUGAGUAGCAUUCCAGAGUCAUUGAGAAGAAUAAGUGAAGUAACUUCUUACUGUGCAAUGCAGAUGCCAAAUUUCCAUUCUGAGAGAAAUUGAAAAUCAGGUAGAGUCCAUUUUCAAUGCAGCAGCCAAGUAAGUUUGCAGUAUUGGGAUGGCUGACAUGUCCAAUAAUUCCCAAUUCCAGCAGGAACUCUUUCUCUUUAGUAACAUCCUUGUUGUCCUUGGUUAGCAUCUUUACCGCAAUAGUUCUGCCAUCAGAAAGAUCACCUCUAUAUACUUCUGAAUACCCUCCUCGACCUACUAUAUUGUCUGAUGAUACUCAAAGAAAGAAAAAAAAGAGAGGCAUAAGACUUCUGAAUUAAUUUGAUUUAUUAGUCACUGAAUCAGAAAGCUAGCACAUACACCACAUAAGCUUAGUGGUAGUUUACCUGGGUGGAAGUUGUUUGUGGCAUUGGCAAUUUCCUCAUAGGUGAAGCAUUUUAACAAAGACUGUUGCUUUUGUUUGUUGGAAACACUCCUAUUUAUUUUUCUCAUUGGUGAAGCAAAAAUUGAGGAGAUAAGUUUACAGGUAGACGUCUGCUUCUUUGUCUUUGAUUGGCCAUUGAAAUUGGUAGCCAGAGGAGGGGACUCUGUAGUGCUUGAGCCUCCGAAACUGAAGAGGAGGAAGUCCUGCCGCUACGAGUGUUACCAUCAUCGUUCUUGCUCAACCACUUUGAACUUGGUUGAUGAGUCUCUGCCAUAAGUGAAUGACUGGAUAGGUUAACACUUAACACUAGAGGAAGUUACAUUCUAUCUGCAUGC